AUGCUUCUCCUAAAGACUAAGCCAUGCAUGCCUAAGAAUAAGAGGAAGCAAUUCUCUCUGAAUCUGCGAACGGCUCCGCAAACCAGUUGUAAACUAUAGCAAGCAAGCCCGGGGUCGGCCUUCACGGGCUGGUUCCGGGUGAUAUGGAUAACCCUGGUAAUUCUGAGGCUAAUACAUGACCGUAAAACCUAGCUGACCGGCUUCGGCUGGGAUGCUGGGGGACGUGUGAUUUGGGCUUGGUAACACCGGGAAGGGGCGCACGUCUAGACCACGCUAUAAAGGUCGGUUUCCUCCUCGGAGGGGGCCGUCCCAGUGGCUCUUGCUGUGUGCUUCUGACCUAUCAACUAGACGGCAGCGUAAGGGACAUGCUAUGGUGACAACGGGUACAGAGGAUUAGGGUUCGAUCCUGGAGAGUGGGCCUGAGAGAUUGCUCAUACUUCUAAGGAAGGCAGCAGGCGCGCAACGUUCCCCUUGGGCAAUGCCCGAGGGCGUUAGGGGACAUAUGAAUGCCUGCCCAUUGGGUGGGCAAUUCAAAUGGGUCUGUUGUAAACAGGCUC
rnacentral:rRNA from 1 species